CAACCCCUAUCCCCUGUUGCCAGCGGAUAAUGCCGGGCACUCUGGGGAAACUGCCGGCGACAAGCCGGAGGAAGGUGGGAAUGACGUCAAGUCCGCAUGGCCCUUAUGUCCAGGGCUACACACGUGCUACAAUGGGCGCUACAAAGGGUUGCAAACCCGCGAGGGGGAGCCAAUCCCUAAAAAGCGCUCUCAGUUGGGAUCGGAGUCUGCAACUCGACUCCGUGAACCCGGAAUCGCUAGUAAUCGCGCAUCAGCUACGGCGCGGUGAAUACGUUCCCGGGCCUUGUACACACCGCCCGUCACACCACGAGAGCUGGUUUCAUCCGAAGUUGGUGAGCUAACCCGCAAGGGAGGCAGCCAACGAAGAUGGGGCUGGUGAUUGGGGUGAAGUCGUAACAAGGUA
rnacentral:rRNA from 1 species